rnacentral:rRNA from 1 species
CGUGUGUGAAGAAGGCCUUUUGGUUGUAAAGCACUUUAAGCAGUGAAGAAGACCUAACGGUUAGUACCCGAUAGCCCGGACAUUACCUGCACAGAAAGCACAAGUU